ACGUAGGGGGCAAGCGUUGUCCGGAAUGAUUGGGCGUAAAGGGCGCGUAGGCGGCCUGGUAAGUCUGGAGUGAAAGUCCUGCUUUUAAGGUGGGAAUUGCUUUGGAUACUGUCGGGCUUGAGUGCAGGAGAGGUAAGUGGAAUUCCCGGUGUAGCGAUGAAAUGCGUAGAGAUCGGAAGGGACACCAGUGACGGAGGUGACUAACUGGGCUGUAACUGACGCUCAGUCGCGAAAGUGUAGGGAGCAAAAAG
rnacentral:rRNA from 1 species